rnacentral:rRNA from 1 species
AUUGAACGCUGGCGGCAGGCCUAACACAUGCAAGUCGAACGGUAGCACAGAGAGCUUGCUCUCGGGUGGCAAGUGGCGGACGGGUGAGUAACGUCUGGGAAACUGCCCGAUGGAGGGGGAUAACUACUGGAAACGGUAGCUAAUACCGCAUAACGUCGCAAGACCAAAGUGGGGGACCUUCGGGCCUCACACCAUCGGAUGUGCCCAGAUGGGAUUAGCUAGUAGGUGGGGUAAUGGCUCACCUAGGCGACGGUCCCUAGCUGGUCUGAGAGGAUGACCAGCCACGCCGGAACUGAGACACGGUCCAGACUCCUACGGGAGGCAGCAGUGGGGAAUAUUGCACAAUGGGCGCAAGCCUGAUGCAGCCAUGCCGCGUGUAUGAAGAAGGCCUUCGGGUUGUAAAGUACUUUCAGCGGGGAGGAAGGCGGUGAAGUUAAUAACUUCACCGAUUGACGUUACCCGCAGAAGAAGCACCGGCUAACUCCGUGCCAGCCGCCGCGGUAA